rnacentral:rRNA from 1 species
CCUACGGGAGGCAGCAGUGAGGAAUAUUGGUCAAUGGCCGGAAGGCUGAACCAGCCAAGUCGCGUGAGGGAUGAAGGCCCUGCGGGUUGUAAACCUCUUUUGUCGGGGAAUAAAGUGCCGCACGUGUGCGGUUUUGAGGGUACCUGAAGAAUAAGCAUCGGCUAACUCCGUGCCAGCAGCCGCGGUAAUACGGAGGAUGCGAGCGUUAUCCGGAUUUAUUGGGUUUAAAGGGUGCGGAGAGGGGCUGUUAAGGCAGUGGUGAAAGUUGGGGGGUCAACCCUCACCUUGCAAUUGAAACUGGCGGCCUUGAGUGCAGCGGAGGUAUGCGGAAUGCGUGGUGUAGCGGUGAAAUGCAUAGAUAUCACGAAGAACUCCGAUUGCGAAGGCAGCGUACUGAACCGCCACUGACGCUGAUGCACGAAAGCGUGGGUAUCGAACAGGAUUAGAUACCCUAGUAGUC